rnacentral:tRNA from 1 species
AGAGAUUUAGGUUAACACACUAGACCCAGAGCCUUCAAAGCUCUAAGCGAAAGUGAAAAUCUUUCAGUCCCUG